rnacentral:rRNA from 1 species
CAAUAGCGUAUAUUUAAGUUGUUGCAGUUAAAAAGCUCGUAGUUGGAUUUCGGGUGGGACGCAGCGGUCUCGCAUUGCGUUUGUACUGCUGCAGCCCUCCUUCUUGCCGGGGGCGGCCUCUCGGACUUCACUGUCUGGGGGUCAGAAUCGGCGAUGUUACUUUGAGUAAAUUAGAGUGUUCAAAGCAAGCUUACGCUCUGAAUAUAAUAGCAUGGGAUAACACGACAGGACUCUGGCCUAUCGUGUUGGUCUAUAGGACCAGAGUAAUGAUUAAGAGGGACAGUCGGGGGCAUUCGUAUACCGUUGUCAGAGGUGAAAUUCUUGGAUUUACGGAAGACGAACAUCUGCGAAAGCAUUUGCCAAGGAUGUUUUCAUUGA